rnacentral:rRNA from 1 species
GCUAGGAUGAACGCUAGCGGCAGGCUUAACACAUGCAAGUCGAGGGGCAGCGGGAUGUAGCAAUACAUUGCCGGCGACCGGCGGAUGGGUGCGUAACGCGUAUGCAACCUACCUUAUACAGGGGAAUAACCUUUCGAAAGGGAGACUAACACCCCAUGGUAUUGAUUUAAGGCAUCUUAGAUUAAUUAAAUAUUUAUAGGUAUAAGAUGGGCAUGCGUAUGAUUAGCUAGUUGGUAAGGUAACGGCUUACCAAGGCGACGAUCAUUAGGGGUUCUGAGAGGAAGGUCCCCCACACUGGUACUGAGACACGGACCAGACUCCUACGGGAGGCAGCAGUGAGGAAUAUUGGUCAAUGGGCGCAAGCCUGAACCAGCCAUGCCGCGUGCAGGAAAGACGGCCUUAUGGGUUGUAAACUGCUUUUACAUAAGACUAACCGUAUAUUUGCGAAUAUACCUGAAUGUAUUAUGAGAAUAAGGAUCGGCUAACUCCGUGCCAGCCGCAGC